AGCUGAUCAGCAGGAGGAGAAGAGUCUGACGGAGCAGCAGAGGAACAUUUUCACCUGCUUGGACUCAGCUGAGUCACUACAGAGAAAACAAUGAGCUCAACACGGAAGGACCAACAUGGAGCGAGAGGUCAGCGCUCUCAGGAGGCCGACAAACCUCACAGAAGAAAGAGAGAGAAAACAUACACCUGUGACGAGUGUGGGAAGGAUUUUACUGGAAAGGCUAAUCUAAAACAUCAUCAGGUCAUCCACACUGGAGAGAGACCGUUCAGCUGUGACUUGUGUGGAAAGUCUUUUUCCUGGAAGCGUUCCCUAAAAACACACCAACUCAUCCACAGUGGAGUUAAAGCGUACAGCUGUGAUCAGUGUGGCAGAGCUUUUACUCAAUUUAGCAACUUAUAGAGUCAUCUAGUUACCCACUCUGGAAUUAAGGCAUACACCUGUGACAUCUGUGGAAAAACUUUCAGCCGGAGAGGAAACCGAAAUAUACACCUACUCAUUCACACCAGACAUGAUGUGUACUGCUGUGAACAGUGUGGCAAACAGUUUAUAACUGACACACAGUUACAACAACACAUGUUUACCCACACUGAUGAGAGAGCUUAUAAAUGUGACCUGUGUGAGAAGACUUUUAAAUCUCCACAUUACCUGAGAAAACACCAACAGAUCCACACCAGAAAGAGACUCUACAAGUGCAGUUACUGUGAGAAGCAGAGCGACACAGAUGGAUCCAGUUCUCAACCCUGUCAUCACUGUGGUGGUGGGAAAGACUUUCGUUGUGACCUUUGUGGAAAAAGUUUCAGUUGGCAAGCCGCCCUAAAAAUACAUCAACGUAGACACACUGGAGACAAACUGAAAUACUGCAAAGAAUGUGGGAGAAGCUUCACCACAUCAUAUAAAUUAAAACGACAUGAACUGAUUCACAGUGGGGUUAAAAAGCACCUCUGUGAUCAGUGUGGGUCAUCCUUCAUCAGUGCAGGUCAGCUUAAAAGACACAAACGAGUCCACACAGGAGAGAAACCAUACAAGUGCAGACACUGUGACAAAAGUUUCUCAUGUUCAAGUAGUCAAAACAGGCAUGAACGUACACACUUGGAAGGGAACUACAGCUGUGACCAGUGUGACAAGAGCUUCAGGAAUCUCAUUUCAUACUCUGAACACAAACGAUCCCACGUUACUAAUAAACUGUUUCACUGUUACCAAUGUGCCAAAACAUUCACCUCAUUGUCUGCUCUGUGCAAACAUCAGCGUGAUCACUCAGGGCUGAAAUCACUCCCAUCACUGGAUCACAGUGAAUCUGAAGAGACAGAAAGAUCCUCUGGUUUCAGUGUCAGACUCAAAAAGCUUGAGAUCAGGCUCCACAGAGUUCAGAUAGAAUCAUUUAAACUUGUGUUGAACUGAACUGGUUGCUGGGCUGAACUUCUAGUUAAUACAGAUUUACAUGGGAUCUUAUUUUCUGUCGUUUUACUGAGUCAG